CUCUUAUUUGUCAGUGUUUGAUUUUGCAAAGGGACACAUUUCUGUUUAGCCAAAGUGAGAAGAGAUGCCUCGUACUUGUGUGAACAGUGCAGAUAACUUCUGCUAUGUUUGUGGUGAAGUGACUUUUGCAUCACAAAAGCGCAGUAUAACCACUAUGGUUAAGAAAGCCUAUCACCUUUAUUUUGGCUGCAAAAUUGGAGAUCAGGACAAGAGGUGGGCCCCACACAUAUGCUGCAACACUUGUGCAACAAAUCUUCGCCAGUGGUUGAACAGGAAAAGGAAAUCUAUGCCUUUUGCAGUGCCAAUGAUUUGGAGAGAGCCAACAGAUCAUACCAGCAAUUGUUACUUCUGCAUGGUGCCUCCAGUUGGGAAAGGUGUGUCAAAGAAGAAAAAGUGGACUGUGCAUUAUCCAAACAUUCCAUCAGCUAUACGCCCAGUACCCCACGGAGAAGGACUGCCGGUUCCUGAUGCACCAGAAUCAUUCUCACUUGAGUCAGACGAGGAAGAGGAAGAGGAUGAAACUUCUGGUCCUGAACCAUCAAUGUCACAGGACCCACAUUUUCUCCCAUCCUCCUCCUCUGAACCACACCUCAUAACACAAGGUGAACUGAAUGACCUUGUCAGGGAUUUGGAACUACCCAAGAGUAAGGCAGAGCUGUUGGGCUCCAGACUACAGCAGUGGAAUCUCCUGGCAGGUGAUGUUAGGGUUUCCAUGUUCCGUGACCGUCAAAAGGAUCUUGUCCCAUUCUUCUUCAUGGAAGGUGAUCUUGUAGCCUGCAACAACAUCGAUGGUGUGAUGGCAGCCCUCAACAUCGUUCACGAUCCAGAUGAGUGGAGACUGUUCAUUGAUUCAUCGAAGACGAGUCUUAAAGCUGUUUUGCUGCAUAAUGGCAAUGUUUUGCCAUCAAUUCCAGUUGGUCAUGCAGUCCAUAUGAAGGAAACCUAUGACAGCAUGAAACAACUUUUGAGGUGCAUAAACUAUGACCAACAUCAGUGGCAGCUUUGUGGCGAUUUGAAGGUUGUUGCUCUCUUGCUUGGUCUGCAGACUGGAUACACAAAGUACUGCUGUUUUCUCUGUGAAUGGGAUAGUCGUGCAAGAGAUUCCCACUACAUCAAGAAAGAUUGGCCACUCCGACAGUCAUUGGAGCCUGGGAGGAAAAGUGUUCAGCAUCCACCACUUGUUGAAUCAAGGAAGAUUUUGUUACCACCGUUACACAUCAAGCUGGGUCUGAUGAAGAACUUUGUCAAGGUCAUUGACAAAACACAAGCAGCUUUCAA
ensembl:lncRNA